rnacentral:rRNA from 1 species
UGAACGCUGGCGGCGUGCCUAAUACAUGCAAGUCGAGCGAACAGACGAGGAGCUUGCUCCUCUGACGUUAGCGGCGGACGGGUGAGUAACACGUGGAUAACCUACCUAUAAGACUGGGAUAACUUCGGGAAACCGGAGCUAAUACCGGAUAAUAUAUUGAACCGCAUGGUUCAAUAGUGAAAGACGGUUUUGCUGUCACUUAUAGAUGGAUCCGCGCCGCAUUAGCUAGUUGGUAAGGUAACGGCUUACCAAGGCAACGAUGCGUAGCCGACCUGAGAGGGUGAUCGGCCACACUGGAACUGAGACACGGUCCAGACUCCUACGGGAGGCAGCAGUAGGGAAUCUUCCGCAAUGGGCGAAAGCCUGACGGAGCAACGCCGCGUGAGUGAUGAAGGUCUUCGGAUCGUAAAACUCUGUUAUUAGGGAAGAACAAAUGUGCAAGUAACUAUGCACGUCUUGACGGUACCUAAUCAGAAAGCCACGGCUAACUACGUG